rnacentral:lncRNA from 1 species
AUUUAAUUUUGCACAUUUGUUGCAGAAGGCAGAUGACUUUAAAGGAAAAAAGCCCAAACUGAGAUGUGCUAUUUUGCAUGACUCUGUGGGAGUCUUGCAGGGUAUUUACAUCUGGUUUAGGAAGAAAGAAGAAAUAGCUGUUCAUAGGCCUUGUGUGUCCAAAAGCCAACAACUGCAACCUUGAACCCCCGGGGCCAUGUUCAGCAUGCACAAGUGGAAGCUUGAUGCCUCAACAUGGUGACCAACGACUGGAGCUACAGCCUAAAAUCUAGCCCUCACACUGCUGAUGGUCAAAUCUCCUGUUGGAAAAGAGAGGUGUUCCUCCUUUGAGUGAGUGCCCCAUCACAGUCAUUGGCCUUUGCUGACAUCACAGGACUUGGCAUUUUGACAUAACAGUAACAUUUGGGCCCGGUUUACAUGUGUGUUUUUUUGACCAAGUAUAAAUUUUUCAUCUUGGCAGCUGAACCAGAAAGCAAGUGUUUGAUGAUGACUGAGUCAUCUCCAUUUUGUUUUCAGUCUUAAAUUUAUUAAAAUGUUUAUUGGUGCACUUUUUUUAAGGGCUCUGCUGAAAGCGAGUGAAGGCACUAACAGCACAGGAACAUAUUUCUGUAAAAUAUGACACUCCUCAGAGUUCAUCAGGAGCAUCCUCAAAAACCCUGUUUCCCUUUUCAGUGUGCUGCUCCAGCAGGAUCACAGACUUUGGUCAGUCUUCACAAGUGGUGAAAAGACCUUGCAAUAGAAGAAUUACCAGGAGAAAAUGCAUGCCAAAGAUUGGUGAGGCUGGAGAAAAAAGAGGACUGAACAAAAAAGAGCACGUGGGGGAAGGGAAGGAGGAAUGGAAGUGUGCCCCAGCACUUCUUUUGAGAUAUACAAUGCUCUUUGCAAUGUUCACAGCUUUAAUGUUAGUAUCUGGGUUACAUAUAGAAUAUUAAAUCACAAUCAUUAAAACAUCUGAGGUUACACUAAUUUAAUUUUUAUAACAAUAAAAGUAGUAAUAUAAUUAAUUAUAUUUGGAGC